CGAAGGGUAGACAGGCCUGCUGGGAUACUCCCGGAUGACUGCGUAGGGCAGUGGGCCGGCUUCGCUGUUCCGCGGAACGCCGGGAAGAGGUCACUUCCAAGGGAAGGUUCCGGUUCCGGUGUAGGCGGUGGUUGAGUUGCUGUGGCAACGCGAUACCUGCGCGCCCGGUUUCCUCGUUCAAGGGCGGCGGCGGGGCUGGAGCCGGCUUGGGUCCGCCUCUCCCAGCCUAGAUCCAUGGAAUUCCGGUAAAUCAGAGGAGCAGGCAUCAUGAACAGAAAUCUAUAUAGGAAACGUCAUGGUACUGAAGGCUAAGCCUUGUUGCGGAAGUCGAGUCCCAGGUGCACUUAUCAGUAGGGGAUGUAUUAUUUCCCAAGUCACCUAACCUUUUCCUCGUGCUUCUAUUCUAGGAGAAGAAUUCACCGACUUCUGUUCUGAGGAUCCGGGGACGCAGGACGGUAACAGGGGGUAGCACUUGUCUUACCUAGUGUGUGACAUUGGCUUGGAAGCAUAGUUGUCUCUCUCACUUUCAGACGUUUCACUGAGAGCACAGCUGUCAUUAAAGGUUCCAAGUAAGCCCUGAGCAGGAAGACUACCCAGCCUGCGUUCUUGGAAUUUACCAGUAAGCAGAGUUGCUGUGUGCGGCGGAGCCUAAGAAAGGAUAUGAGAAAGCGUGUCUGUGCUCAUUCAGAACCU